AAAAGGAAGGAGGGAAGUUCCCUUUGUCUGAGUUACUUUCAGUUUUGACCGGAGUGGAAAAGCUCCAGAAUUCAGCCUCUUAUCAAGUAAUUGCACACUCUGUGGAGCAAGCACCAUGUCUUCCCCUGUAUUGGGAAAGCACCAAGCUCACUGUGGGUGCUACUGUAAUCUAAACAAUAAAUAUCAAACAAACAGAUGCCACGCCUGAAGGUGUUUACACGAUGCAAGAGAUGUGAAGGUGGAAGUUUGGAUAUAUGCUGUCCUUUCCUCCAAUAACAAUGAUCAUCCACUUCCCAGAAUGUUCAUAUUUUAUGAUAUACAGGCAAAACUGUUCACCUCCAUUUAUUUAGAACUGCAUCUUACCUGAAACAGUAAAACAAAAGUCUCUUCAACCUUCAUAAAGCAUUAGAUUUUACUAGCAGAACAUUAUUAUUGCAAGCACAUUAUUAAAUGCAUCUUUAGUAAAAUAGCAUUGUUAUUUGCAUGGAGUCUAUCCUGGUAAUAAAGCUUCUUGAAUCUGUGCUGAAAGAAAGAUUUCUUUUAAGGCUCAUUUACCCUUGGACUGAUAAAGCAGUUUCACAGAAUUCUUGACUUAAAACAGCUUUGGAAUAUAAAUGUAAACCCUGGGGGAAAUAGGGGAGAAGAGCAAAAGCAGUUCUGUACUGUACCUUCACUUGAGCAGAAGCAGACACCUGAAUUAAUCUCUUGCUGCUAAAAUAGAACAUAAUCUAAACUAAUCAAGGAAGGGUGAAGAGGUUGGGUUUGAAGUUGAACCUUAAAUUGAGAUUUAAUCCAAACACUGUAAUGCCAAGGCAAAACUGGACUCUUGGAAUUAAACAUACUGUACUAUGUG